CGGUAAUUCCAGCUCCAAUAGCGUAUAUUAAAGUCGUUGUGGUUAAAAAGCUCGUAGUUGAACCUUGGGCCUGGCUGGCCGGUCCGCCUCACCGCGUGUACUGGUCCGGCCGGGCCUUUCCCUCUGUGGAACCCCAUGCCCUUCACUGGGUGUGGCGGGGAAACAGGACUUUUACUUUGAAAGAAUUAGAGUGCUCCAGGCAGGCCUAUGCUCGAAUACAUUAGCAUGGAAUAAUAGAAUAGGACGUGUGGUUCUAUUUUGUUGGUUUCUAGGACCGCCGUAAUGAUUAAUAGGGACAGUCGGGGGCAUCAGUAUUCAAUUGUCAGAGGUGAAAUUCUUGGAUUUAUUGAAGACUAACUACUGCGAAAGCAUUUGCCAAGGAUGUUUUCAUUAAUCAGGAACGAAAGUUAGGGGAUCGAAGACGAUCAGAUACCGUCGUAGUCUUAACCAUAAACUAUGCCGACUAGGGAUCGGACGAUGUUAUUUUUUGACUCGUUCGGCACCUUACGAGAAAUCAAAGUGCUUGGGCUCCAGGGGGAGUAUGGUCGCAAGGCUGAAACUUAAAGAAAUUGACGGAAGGGCACCACCAGGGGUGGAGCCUGCGGCUUAAUUUGACUCAACACGGGGAAACUCACCAGGUCCAGACACAAUGAGGAUUGACAGAUUGAGAGCUCUUUCUUGAUUUUGUGGGUGGUGGUGCAUGGCCGUUCUUAGUUGGUGGAGUGAUUUGUCUGCUUAAUUGCGAUAACGAACGAGACCUUAACCUGCUAAAUAGCCCGUAUUGCUUUGGCAGUACGCUGGCUUCUUAGAGGGACUAUCGGCUCAAGCCGAUGGAAGUUUGAGGCAA
rnacentral:rRNA from 1 species